AGAGACAGCAGUCGCCACGGUAAUACGUAGGGUGCAAGCGUUAAUCGGAAUUACUGGGCGUAAAGCGUGCGCAGGCGGUGUUGUAAGACUGAUGUGAAAUCCCCGGGCUCAACCUGGGAACUGCAUUGGUGACUGCAACGCUGGAGUGCGGCAGAGGGGGAUGGAAUUCCGCGUGUAGCAGUGAAAUGCGUAGAUAUGCGGAGGAACACCGAUGGCGAAGGCAAUCCCCUGGGCCUGCACUGACGCUCAUGCACGAAAGCGUGGGGAGCAAACAGGAUUAGAUACCCCCGUAGUCCCUGUCUCUUAUAC
rnacentral:rRNA from 1 species